UCGUAAGUAACAAAGAAAAGAGUUUCUCUCUCUUCGAAUCCACGCCCCUGUCCGUUGCUCUCUCCCGCACCGGUCCCAACAUCCAUCGCCACGCCCCGUUGCCAUCUCCCUUCGCUUGCAACCAGCAUUCAGCUCUUUCUUCCUCAGAUCUACACUCUCCAUUUCCAUCACUCUCAGGUGUCAAUUUGCUGGUUUACAAUCCAUUUUGUUACGAUCUCUGCCCGGUGCCCUUCGUUGAAUCUCGCGGGAGUCUUUCUGGAGGGUAGAGUAAAAUGGAUGGACCAACUGGUCGUGGCAGCGGCAUGGAUAUGAAUUUACCGAACUAUAAGCUUGGGAAAACCCUUGGCAUUGGUUCAUUUGGGAAAGUGAAAAUUGCAGAGCAUGCUUUAACUGGUCAUAAAGUUGCUAUUAAGAUACUUAACCGCCGGAAGAUAAAAAACUUGGACAUGGAAGAAAAAGUAAGGAGAGAGAUUAAAAUAUUGAGAUUGUUCAUGCAUCCUCACAUUAUACGGCUCUAUGAAGUCAUAGAGACCCCGACAGACAUUUAUGUUGUGAUGGAGUACGUAAAAUCUGGAGAGCUCUUUGAUUAUAUUGUAGAAAAGGGAAGGUUGCAGGAAGAUGAAGCCCGUAUUUUUUUCCAACAGAUAAUUUCUGGUGUGGAGUACUGCCACAGGAAUAUGGUGGUGCACAGAGAUCUUAAGCCUGAGAAUUUGCUUUUGGACUCCAAAUGUAAUGUGAAGAUUGCUGAUUUUGGUUUGAGCAAUAUAAUGCGUGAUGGUCACUUUCUGAAGACAAGUUGUGGGAGUCCCAAUUAUGCUGCUCCAGAGGUAAUCUCCGGGAAAUUAUAUGCUGGACCUGAAGUAGAUGUAUGGAGUUGUGGUGUUAUUUUGUAUGCGCUUCUAUGCGGCACUCUUCCUUUUGACGAUGAAAACAUUCCCAACCUGUUUAAGAAAAUAAAGGGUGGGAUCUAUACUCUUCCAAGUCAUUUAUCGUCAGGUGCUAGAGAAUUGAUUCCUAGUAUGCUGGUUGUUGACCCAAUGAAGCGCAUCACCAUCCCUGAGAUCCGACAGCACCCGUGGUUUCAGGCUCAUCUUCCACGCUAUUUAGCUGUGCCUCCACCUGAUACAAUGCAACAAGCCAAAAAGAUUGAUGAAGACAUUCUUCAGGAGGUUGUAAAGAUGGGAUUUGACAGGAAUCAGCUGGUGGAGUCUCUUCGUAACCGAAUUCAAAAUGAGGCUACAGUUGCUUAUUAUUUGUUGCUGGACAACCGCUUCCGUGUUUCUAGUGGUUAUCUUGGAGCUGAGUUUCAGGAGACUAUGGAAACAGGAUUCAACCGUAUGCACCCUGGUGAACCUACAAGUCCUGUUGUAGGACACCGUCAUCCUGGAUAUAUGGAUUACCAAGGAAUGGGAUUAAGAUCACAGUUUCCUGUUGAGAGAAAGUGGGCUCUGGGAUUACAGUCUCGCGCUCAUCCACGUGAAAUUAUGACCGAGGUUCUUAAAGCUCUACGUGAGCUCAAUGUGGCUUGGAAGAAGAUUGGGCACUACAAUAUGAAAUGUAGGUGGUUGCCUGGAAUUCCAGGCCAUCAUGAAGGCAUGAUCAACAGCCCUGUGCAUAGUAAUCAUUACUUCGGGGACGAGUCUACCAUCAUUGAAAACGAUGGCGUCGUUAAAUCGCCUAAUGUUAUCAAGUUUGAAGUUCAGCUCUACAAAACGCGGGAAGAGAAGUAUUUGCUUGAUCUACAGAGGGUUCAAGGCCCCCAGUUCCUUUUCCUGGAUCUUUGUGCUGCGUUCCUUGCACAGCUCCGAGUGCUCUAAAAACACAUAAUUUUAACUCAUGGGACGGUGAGCUUGUGAACCAAGAUUUCACAUGCAUAACUUAUCUAUCAUCUUACAGAAUCUUAGUUCUUACCCUCCCAGUUUAGAUGGAUAGUAGCUCAGUCUUGUGUAAAUCUGAUUUUCGGUAGUAGAAGUUGUCAGAUCUGGGCGUCCAAUAUUGAUUGUUGCUCUCAGCUGUCGGUGUUCUCUUCGUCGAGGUUCCCGAAAUCCUUUCGUCUUUGGUACGUCUCACCAAAACUCUUAACUGGGUAGUUCUCUCCAUCUUGUGACUGUUGAAAUGACAAAAAUCCUCUGUUGAAUUUUGAGGAAAGACCCAUGCAUUGAUUACAUUUAGAACGAUUAUCCGAGUAAGAUGCAAUAACAUAUCACAUAUCGUAUUUCGGGUAGAAUAUUAGUCUCAUAUUAAUUGGUUGCGACAUGCAAAGGUUCUUGCUCUCAAGUGCUAUUGAUCGAAAGAUCUUCGUCAAAUAUAGAGGAUUGUGGAGAUGAAUGAAAACUCAGAAAAAUAGGGGUGAUGAAGAAAGAGCACGAGUCACUGUUUCUAGAUGCCAAUAUAGUAAUUGAUAGUUCAUUCCUUGUUCUCGUUCUCGUUCUCGCUCAAUUGCCCUCAUUCCUUUUUGUGAUGGGAUUGCAUUUUCAUGACUUUCUACAAAUGGGUAAUCAUUUUAUUUCA